rnacentral:piRNA from 1 species
UAAAUAACAAAAUAACAGGGGAGCAAUGA